UUGCAGACCCCUGUGUAUCUGAGGCCUUCUGCGGGACUGCUUGCUUCUGCUGAUCUUAAGUUUCCUGGCAAGGUGUUCAGCAUGAAUAGUUACUUGGAAGCCAAAUUACAACCUAAAAGGAUAAUUAGCAUAUUUGACUCUACUGAAAUGUCAUAGUUUUAAUAUUGGCUCGUAGUGGAUUUAUGCUGCUUGAGUAGCCUUGGUUGGAGUUCUCUGUUUUUGGGGGGUUCCCUCUGGUAGUACUUAAACUUUGUGAAGAGCUUUCUGAAAGGAUCCGGGGUAUGGCCUCUCUACCUGUUGGAUACUAUGGAGAAUCUCCUUAUAUGCCACGUUGCACUGCUAAGCAACCCCCACUCUGUGCCUCUGAUCAGAGGAGCCCUGCUGUGACAAGCCAUUCAGGAACAAAAUAACGUAAUGGGUUGUGCAGGUUUUCAUCUAGAACGGGCUUCAGGUAUUUAAAAAUAUUUAAAAUGUUUUAAAGAAAAUGCUGGAAAAUUCAUAUAGAAAUUGCCAUGCGGCAAUCAGUUCAUGCCAGUUAUGUUAGUAAAAUGAAAUGCAGCAAGCUUUUGAGUUUGAUUUUUGUUUCAGUCUGUCUAGAGAACAUGGUGUCAAGUGCCCAUUUUUCUUUUAAGAAUAGCCUUAAAGACUUGAUUACUCUUUGAUCCUAGUAUUGUCUUGAAGGUAGUUCAAAGUUAUAAGGAGUUAUGUAUGCUGUAUCUUAAUGAAAUGCUUGUCUGAAAUUGUACUGAUAGCCUGCUGUGAAAAAAUCAAUUUGCCAUCAGCAAACUGAAUGUACUUGAUGCUCAAUUUAGUUCACCCAAGUAUUUCAUGUUCUUUCCCUAUGGUAAAACAAAAGGGUCCUGAGAAUUAAUUACAGCACUAGCAUCUGCUCGUGGCAGCUUUGCUGAUAGACUUCGUAGAAGAAGAUAGUUAAAGAGUGAGGGAGAUGGAGUGUGAAGUUUUUACCAGUACCAUUUCUUAUGCAAAUACAUUUAAAUAACAGACCUCUUUUCCUGUACAUAUUUUUCUUUUUGCUGUGGACAACUCACUUGCAUAUAAAACCAGAAGAUAUCAAUUGCUUCAAACUAAUUUGUGUUAUGCCAGGUUGUUUUUUUUUUGUGGAACAUAUUUCUAUACAAUUUUUGGCUGUGCAACGGAGUACUUGUUAUCUCAAUGCUGGUAAUAAUAGUUUUUCCUUUAAAAUAAAUUUCCAACUUUUUGGAGGGUCAAUAGAUGAAUGAGAAGUUUGCUGAAAUUACAGGUUCCUGAGAUUCC
ensembl:lncRNA